CAGCCGCCGCGGUAAUACGGAGGGGGCUAGCGUUGUUCGGAAUUACUGGGCGUAAAGCGCGCGUAGGCGGUUACUCAAGUCAGAGGUGAAAGCCCGGGGCUCAACCCCGGAACUGCCUUUGAAACUAGGUGACUAGAAUCUUGGAGAGGUCAGUGGAAUUCCGAGUGUAGAGGUGAAAUUCGUAGAUAUUCGGAAGAACACCAGUGGCGAAGGCGACUGACUGGACAAGUAUUGACGCUGAGGUGCGAAAGCGUGGGGAGCAAACAGGAUUAGAUACCCCUGUAGUCCCUGUCUCUUAUAC
rnacentral:rRNA from 1 species